rnacentral:rRNA from 2 species
UGCAGUCGAGCGACUGAUUAGAAGCUUGCUUCUAUGACGUUAGCGGCGGACGGGUGAGUAACACGUGGGCAACCUGCCUGUAAGACUGGGAUAACUUCGGGAAACCGAAGCUAAUACCGGAUAGGAUCUUCUCCUUCAUGGGAGAUGAUUGAAAGAUGGUUUCGGCUAUCACUUACAGAUGGGCCCGCGGUGCAUUAGCUAGUUGGUGAGGUAACGGCUCACCAAGGCAACGAUGCAUAGCCGACCUGAGAGGGUGAUCGGCCACACUGGGACUGAGACACGGCCCAGACUCCUACGGGAGGCAGCAGUAGGGAAUCUUCCGCAAUGGACGAAAGUCUGACGGAGCAACGCCGCGUGAGUGAUGAAGGCUUUCGGGUCGUAAAACUCUGUUGUUAGGGAAGAACAAGUACGAGAGUAACUGCUYGUACCUUGACGGUACCUAACCAGAAAGCCACGGCUAACUACGUGCCAGCAGCCGCGGUAAUACGUAGGUGGCAAGCGUUAUCCGGAAUUAUUGGGCGUAAAGCGCGCGCA